CAGCAGCCGCGGGAAAACGUAGGUGGCAAGCGUUGUCCGGAAUUAUUGGGCGUAAAGGGCUCGCAGGCGGUUUCUUAAGUCUGAUGUGAAAGCCCCCGGCUCAACCGGGGAGGGUCAUUGGAAACUGGGAAACUUGAGUGCAGAAGAGGAGAGUGGAAUUCCACGUGUAGCGGUGAAAUGCGUAGAGAUGUGGAGGAACACCAGUGGCGAAGGCGACUCUCUGGUCUGUAACUGACGCUGAGGAGCGAAAGCGUGGGGAGCGAACAGGAUUAGAUACCCGCGUAGUCCCUGUCUCUUAUAA
rnacentral:rRNA from 1 species